rnacentral:rRNA from 1 species
GGAGGAAGUAGGGGAUCGCAAGACCUUGCGCUUUUGGAGUGGCCGAUGCCUGAUUAGCUAGUUGGUGGGGUAAUGGCCUACCAAGGCGACGAUCAGUAGUUGGUCUGAGAGGACGACCAGCCACACUGGGACUGAGACACGGCCCAGACUCCUACGGGAGGCAGCAGUGGGGAAUUUUGGACAAUGGGCGAAAGCCUGAUCCAGCAAUGCCGCGUGAGUGAAGAAGGCCUUCGGGUUGUAAAGCUCUUUCAGUCGAGAAGAAAAGGUUGUGACUAAUAAUCACAACUCAUGACGGUAUCGACAGAAGAAGCACCGGCUAACUACGUGCCAGCAGCCGCGGUAAUACGUAGGGUGCGAGCGUUAAUCGGAAUUACUGGGCGUAAAGGGUGCGCAGGCGGCUUUGUAAGUCAGAUGUGAAAUCCCCGGGCUUAACCUGGGAAUUGCGUUUGAAACUACAAGGCUAGA